UUAAAGGUACUAUGACAUCAAACCCCCUCAAAUUCAAAUUUUAAUUGUUGUACGGUAAAUUUUCAUCGUGAAUCUGAUGAUGAAAACAAUUUCCAGUCAUUUUCAAUCACUCAGCUGCAAAAUGAGAAAAAGAAAUAUGCUUGGGAACGCCCCCUGAAAUUGUUGACGCUGGGUUGCGAUUACGUAAUCCCCUGUGACGUCAGCGGGAGAACACAAAGCGGGCUUGAGUGAGAGUAAAAUGCGUGAUUGUAUUGGCAUUGUGUGUUGAUUUGUAAAACUACGGACUGAACAUUGCUGCUUUGGAAGUUAUUUUUUUUCUGGGAAAAUGGAUCACUUGUGUGAAGGUGACAACGAGGAUGGAUUCUUUGUCUGACAGAGAAGAAAAUCUGCCUGAGUUUGAAGAGGAACUUGAGGGAAAAGGUGAAGUUUCUGCUGCUACUGAGCUGCGCCUGGUAUAUUCAUUGCCUACACUACAGUUUCAGCCUGCCUUUCCAGAUCCAGUGAGACUCGACUGAGAGAAGUUGAAACAAUUAAUUUUGUCGGCGUUCGUGAUAAUCAGGAAGACAUCGAAGAAAGACUUGGCCACAAUCAUUGGUGUUCAUGCAGUCGAUCAUGGAGGCUGCUUUGCAAUGCUGAAGGUCGUGGAGACCAUCUGCUUCAAAGAAGUUCCCAGUUCACGCAGACAAUGUUAUGGGCCGGAGGAGUUAUACUGCAUCACAGACCGUCCUGGUUUCAGGAGUGUUUGUCUAGAGUGCAGGGGGGUACUUGAGACCGCCUUCUACCAGUACCGCCAGCAUAUACGGCCAACAAGCAUGACAAGAUGUCACUGAAAAUGAGAAAAACAGACACGCUGCCUAUCGUCAGCUAGCUAGAUGGUGCUGGGGAUACCUGGGAAGAUCAGUGCAAGUUUCACUGCUGUCCUGCGCUGUACCUCAGAUCCGGACAACUUUACUUUCCUCAGAAUACAGAGGAUUUGAAGAGGAAUAUACAGAUAUUUGUUGGGCAUGGGGGUGUAGUGUGAUUCAUUCAAGACAUGGAUGUUUGCUUUUCAUUUUUUAAAUUUAUUUUGAAGGUGACAUUGAUAUGUUACUUACUUUUCUAACAUUGUGGCUAAAAUAAUUUACCUUAGUUUAAUGCGUUACAAAGCUUACUAAAAAGGGAUACCCGUAAGUUUUUGAAUUUCCACAUGAUAUAAAUACCUUCUAGAGCUAUAGGUUAUCUUCAUUUGUAAAUGCUUCUUAUCUCCUCAAGGUUAUGUAUUUAUUUAUUUAUUAUUAUUAUUAUAUUUCCUCAGGGGGGGGGGGGAUUCUUUCAAAUUAAACUUGUGAUCUACUGUCUGUAGGUUUAAAGUAGAUUAACAUAUGAACUCUCAAAAGGGUUAAUUCAUCCUAGAGCAGUUAUUUGCUGUCAGCCAAUGUUUUCUGUUUAGAGCUAUAAAAUACGGGAAAGUAAAUGUGUUCUCUUAUAAUAACUACUUAUUUUUGUAUGAUAUAUUACAGCUACAUAUUGUACUAAAGAAUAUCUCAUUUGCCUCGUCUCUCAGUUGAUGCCCACAAUCUAUGAGUUGAUUAUUAUUGUACUAUGAAGGAGGUAGACCACACUUGUCCUAACCUGCAUAGUGUACAGUUCAGCAGUCUUUCUUGUAGAACAAUUUCCCACCAGGUGUUAAAGGUACUACAUAGGUGAACAUUUUCAAUAGUUGUCAUUUUUAGAGGAAUAAUGGAUGAAACUGCAAGGCAAUCAUUACUUCCGUGCCUCUUGUUUUCUGAUGCACUGUGGGAUAAAUAUUUCAGCAUGUGUUUUAUACCUUAAAAUGCAUCGGUAAAUUCAGUAUAAUUAAAUCAGUUCUUUUGAAAAUCGUAAGUAAAUACUAGAAAGUAAAUAGAUACAUGUCCGACAUAUUCAAAUUGAUAUUGUAUUUAUUAAGUCUGUGAUUACCCCAUCGUUUUAUGCUGUUUAGGGUCAAGACAAGACAGAGAAACUAAAUGGCAAUUUGAAACUUUAUUAGCUAAUAUGGGAAUUAGAAAUGUUAAGUACAUGCACCAUUUCAUGAUGUAGCUAUUAUAGGACAAAUCGACCUUCCAAAUGGUUUAUAUAUUUUUUGUGUAUUUUUCUUCCAUGUCUUUCACGCAAAGCAACAUCUUACAUACACUCACUCUUAGCUUCAGUUAAUGUGAUAAAUUAAAGUUGACCAAUCCCCCAAAUAUA